GGGCGCGUAGCUCAAUGGUUAGAGCCGGCCGGCUCAGUUACAGCCUCCGGCAAGACGACUGCUACUUUCAGCAGUCAUGACGGUCUGGUUGCAAGUUCGAAUCCUGCCGCGCCCACCA
rnacentral:tRNA from 1 species